ACGCACGCUGGCGGCGUGCUUCACCCAUGCCAGUCGAACGGAAAGGCCCCUUUGGGGGUACUCGAGUGGCGAACGGGUGAGUAACACGUGAGUAACCUGCCCUUGACUUCGGGAUAACUUCAGGAAACUGGGGCUAAUACCGGAUAGGAAUCCUUGCUGCAUGGUGGGGGUUGGAAAGCUUCGGCGGUUUUGGAUGGACUCGCGGCUUAUCAGCUUGUUGGUGGGGUAGUGGCUUACCAAGGCUUUGACGGGUAGCCGGCCUGAGAGGGCGACCGGCCACAUUGGGACUGAGAUACGGCCCAGACUCCUACGGGAGGCAGCAGUGGGGAAUAUUGCACAAUGGGCGGAAGCCUGAUGCAGCAACGCCGCGUGCGGGAUGACGGCCUUCGGGUUGUAAACCGCUUUCAGCAGGGGCGAAGCUUGUGGUGACGGUACCUGCAGAAGAAGCACCGGCUAACUACGUG
rnacentral:rRNA from 1 species